AAUCAACGCUGGCGGCGUGCCUCAGACAUGCAAGUUGAACGAUUAAAGCCCUCUUCGGAGAGUGCAUAAAGUGGCGCACGGGUGAGUAACACGUAAGUAAUCUACCCUCGAGUGGGGAAUAACGUCCGGAAACGGACGCUAAUACCGCAUAACGCAGCGGCACCGCAAGGUGACAGUUGUUAAAGGAGAAAUUCGCUUGAGGAGGAGCUUGCGGCAGAUUAGCUGUUGGUAAGGUAACGGCUUACCAAGGCUACGAUCUGUAACCGGUCUAAGAGGACGGUCGGUCACACUGACACUGAAUAACGGGUCAGACUCCUACGGGAGGCAGCAGUCGGGAAUUUUGGGCAAUGGGGGAAACCCUGACCCAGCAACGCCGCGUGAAGGAUGAAGUAUUUCGGUAUGUAAACUUCGAAAGAAUAGGAAGAAUAAAUGACGGUACUAUUUAUAAGGUCCGGCUAACUACGUGCCAGCAGCCGCCGCCGUAAU
rnacentral:rRNA from 1 species